rnacentral:piRNA from 1 species
UUAUUUAUUUAUUUGAUUGUAUACAUACUA